GUAGUCAGACCGGUAAACGGUGGGCACUAGUUGUGGGAACCUUCCACGGUUUCUGCGACGCAGCUAACGCAUUAAGUGCCCCGCCUGGGGAGUACGAUCGCAAGAUUAAAACUCAAAGGAAUUGACGGGGCCCCGCACAAGCAGCGGAGCAUGCGGCUUAAUUCGACGCAACGCGAAGAACCUUACCAAGGCUUGACAUAUAGGGAAAAGUGGCAGAGAUGUCAUGUCCGCAAGGGCUCUAUACAGGUGGUGCAUGGUUGUCGUCAGCUCGUGUCGUGAGAUGUUGGGUUAAGUCCCGCAACGAGCGCAACCCUCGUUCUGUGUUGCCAGCAUUUAGUUGGGGACUCACAGGAGACUGCCGGGGUUAACUCGGAGGAAGGUGGGGAUGACGUCAAAUCAUCAUGCCCCUUAUGUCUUGGGCUGCACGCAUGCUACAAUGACCGGUACAGAGGGCUGCAAUACCGUAAGGUGGAGCGAAUCCCAAAAAGCCGGUCUCAGUUCGGAUUGAGGUCUGCAACUCGACCUCAUGAAGUUGGAGUUGCUAGUAAUCGUAGAUCAGCAUCGCUACGGUGAUACGUUCCCGGGGCUUGUACACACCGCCCGUCACGUCAC
rnacentral:rRNA from 1 species